rnacentral:tRNA from 1 species
GUCAGAGUGGCUGAGUCUGGUUUAAAGCACUGGACUUAAGAUCCAGCAAGCACAUACCCUGUGCUUCAUGGGUUCAAAUCCCGUCCCUGACG